rnacentral:rRNA from 1 species
CAAAGAGAGGCAAAGCCGCGAGGUGGAGGCAAAUCUCAAAAAGACCGUCCCAGUUCGGAUUGCAGGCUGCAACCCGCCUGCAUGAAGUUGGAAUCGCUAGUAAUCGCGGAUCAGCAUGCCGCGGUGAAUACGUUCCCGGGCCUUGUACACACCGCCCGUCACACCAUGAGAGUCGGGAACACCCGAAGUCCGUAGCCUGACCGCAAGGGGGGCGCGGCCGAAGGUGGGUUCGAUAAUUGGGGUGAAGUCGUAACAAGGUACC